rnacentral:sRNA from 1 species
UUUGAAUACUUUGCGAGGAGUUGCUAUUGACCUCGCAAAUCCCUAGCAAUUUGCGAGGGAUUUGCGAUGAAAGACGCAAAUCCCUCGCAAAUAAGUUGAAAACCCUAAUAAGUCGUUUCCUCGCAAGUCCGUAGCAAAAUUUGCGAGGGAAUUGCGAGGCUUUUUAAAUAUAUAUAUACACUGCAACCGUGUUUGAGCUGCGCUCAAACCUAGCCGCACACACCGAAACCCUAAAAUUUUCUUCUUCUCUGUUCUUCUUCUCUGUUCUUCUUCUCCGGAUCUUCUUCUCCGUUCUUCUUCUCCUUUGUUCUUCUCCAUUCUUCUUCUCCGUCGUGCCACAUCCUCUACGAGGAGAUCCAGAUAGCCGCCGCUAACCAGGAAACCCUAAUUUCGGAGGUUUGAAAUCGAGUCUCUUCCGUCUCCGUUCUUCUUCUCCGACGACAACUCGGUCUUCUUUGCCGCCUCUCCUCUCACAUCGAUCUGCAAGGUAAAGAAAUGUUUCUAUUUGAAACCUUAUCGAUUUUCUGCAGAUCUUAGUAAGGUUUAGUUUUACUUAUUCGAUUUGUUCUGUUUCAUUUGAUUUGGGUUUCGUUUACUCAAUCGAUUUGUUAUGUUUCAUUUGAUUAGGGUUUCUUUUACUCAAUCGAUUUGUUCUGUUUCAUUUAAUUAGGGUUUCGUUUACUCAAUCGAUUUGUUAUGUUUCAUUUGAUUAGGGUUUCGUUUACUCAAUCGAUUUGUUAUGUUUCAUUUGAUUAGGGUUUCGUUUAACAAACAACUAAAUGAUGAGCAUGUGUAUAGCAUUAGACAACU